CAGUAGCCGCGGUAAAACGUAGGGUGCAAGCGUUAAUCGGAAUUACUGGGCGUAAAGCGUGCGCAGGCGGUUCGUUAAGACAGAUGUGAAAUCCCCGGGCUUAACCUGGGAACUGCAUUUGUGACUGGCGGGCUAGAGUAUGGCAGAGGGGGGUAGAAUUCCACGUGUAGCAGUGAAAUGCGUAGAGAUGUGGAGGAAUACCGAUGGCGAAGGCAGCCCCCUGGGCCAAUACUGACGCUCAUGCACGAAAGCGUGGGGAGCAAACAGGAUUAGAUACCCGUGUAGUCCCUGUCUCUUAUAC
rnacentral:rRNA from 1 species